rnacentral:ncRNA from 2 species
UGGGCACGUUGGGGGUGCCGCGCCGCUGUCCGGCUGGCUGAGAGAGUCCCUUCGAACCUGUACGGGUCAUGCCGUCGUAGGGAAGCGGAGCGCAUCUGGU